rnacentral:lncRNA from 13 species
UUGUGGCGUCUUUUCUUUUCCUGCCUGUAAGUACUUCCAGAUGGGAUUUAGACCCCAGACGUAACAAUAUUUCCAUAUUUGGUAUAGCAGUAGCCUGCAUUUUUCACAUUUUUCUGCUCUGUUAUCCAACCACAAAGCAUUCUUGACAGCUUCAGAUGUUGUUAAAUAUAGCCUUAACUUCUGUUCCCAGGGCAGGAAAUUCUUUGGAAUUCCUGUUUUUCACGCAAUCUGUCUAUCAUGAUUUAGGAGAACUGUGCUGGAGGAGCCAACUGGCGUUCUGCUGCAGUUCGCUCCUUUAUUGAAAUAGCCCAGCAGUUGGGUCUGCUGCCCAAAGGCGUUACAAUGAGUCCCCAUUCCAGGGAUUUUUCUUUGCAAAUGAGAUUACUGUUCCCAACACGAGUUUGGGGUUUUUCUUGUCGCCUUCAAGGCUGGAAGGUAGAGAAGCAGAUUCAAAGGAGAGGCGAAAGCUUGCAAAAACCCCUCCAAAGGCCAUGAAAAGUGGAGGGGGAGGGGGCGAGGGGGACAGCGGGGAGGGAAGGAUGCGGAGAGGAGGGAUGUGAUUAACCUGCUUGCGGCAUUCCCAUACAGCGGGUGUCCCUGCGUGCCGCCCGCCCGGGACGGGCAGCCGGGGAGGGGAGGUAGCCGCAGCCCCGCCGCUCGGAGGAGCCCAGUCUGAUCGUCUCGUCGCCUGCCCGGUGCCGCGACAGAAAGGACGGUGCGCCGGGCUCCGGCCUGUGUCUCUCCAGGGAAAGGGCUUUCCAGAAAAACAAGUCAAGAAAAAACAACUGGCUUGAUUUCCCUCCAGCCAGCAUCAGUUUUUCCCAGCUGCACAUAGGGACCAUGGAGCAGCAUGAAGGGCAGUGUGGGACAGAGGCUCCCCCAGGUGCUGGUGCUCCCACUGACAUAGAAGAGCAGAAAGAGAAAACUUCUGACAACUACCUGGGUGAAAACCCCUUUGAGUUGCUGUUUGUGCACCUAAGGAAUGAUUAAAGCAACUUUAUUCUCUUCUAUGGCUGUGAGUAAAAUCUGAUGAUGUACCUCUUCUAAGAGAAUGAUCCAUUGAUCAUAAUGGGAGCUUUUCCAGCAGAUUAGUGUUAAUAAUGGCAUUUGGCUGUGCAGUAGUUGCACAGUUUUCUAUUGAGCUGAAGAAAUCACUUCAACUUGUAUUCAUUUUCAAAAGUGAAAUUCAGUGUCUCCCCAUCUUUCUGGUGCAGAUUCCUUUUGUCACAGUGGGAUGUGCUGGUGACUGAACUGAAUGGUUCAGUUGCUGGCUUGUCCCAGCUUUUCACUCUCUGGAGUUUCAAGUAGCAUUUAAUUAAUAGAGUGAGAGAUGU